GAUGAAGAACGCAGCGAAAUGCGAUAAGUAGUGUGAAUUGCAGAAUUCAGUGAAUCAUCGAAUCUUUGAACGCACAUUGCGCCCCUUGGUAUUCCAUGGGGCAUGCCUGUUCGAGCGUCAUUCGUACCUUCAAGCUUUGCUUGGUGUUGGGUGUUUGUCCAUUCUCUUGCAGAGGGACUCGCCUUAAAGUAAUUGGCAGCCAGUGUUUUGGUUUUGAAGCGCAGCACAAGUCGCGAUUCAACGCUAUACGCCAGCUUCCACAAGCCUUUUUCACUUUUGACCUCGGAUCAGGUAGGGAUACCCGCUGAACUUAAGCAUAUCAAUAAGCGGAGGA
rnacentral:misc_RNA from 1 species